AUUGAACGCUGGCGGCAGGCUUAACACAUGCAAGUCGAGCGGUAACAGAGAGAAGCUUGCUUCUCUGCUGACGAGCGGCGGACGGGUGAGUAAUGCCUAGGAAUCUGCCUAGUAGUGGGGGAUAACUUGCCGAAAGGUAAGCUAAUACCGCAUACGUCCUACGGGAGAAAGGAGGGGACGUUCGGGCCUUUCGCUAUUAGAUGAGCCUAGGUCGGAUUAGUUAGUUGGUGAGGUAAUGGCUCACCAAGACCGCGAUCCGUAACUGGUCUGAGAGGAUGAUCAGUCACACUGGAACUGAGACACGGUCCAGACUCCUACGGGAGGCAGCAGUGGGGAAUAUUGGACAAUGGGGGGAACCCUGAACCAGCCAUGCCGCGUGUGUGAAGAAGGUCUUAGGAUUGUAAAGCACUUUAAGUUGGGAGGAAGAGCAGUUAACUAAUAUUUGACUGUCUUGACGUUACCGACAGAAUAAGCACCGGCUAACUUCGUGCCAGCCGCCGCCGUAA
rnacentral:rRNA from 1 species